AUCUCCUUACCCAGUAACCGAUAAUGGAUAAUAAAUUUAUGCUCCUCCUGCGUUGAAGUCUAUUUCUUCCCCAGUUGAGUUGAGUGCGCAUUUCCUCAGUGAAAUCGCUUUUCCUGCAUGAGUUGAGUACUUCGGUUUUAUCCUGAUCUACUCGUUUCGCCUGCAAAUGUUUUUGUUUCCUCGACUGAGUCCUUCCAUUUUUUAUGGAAUUCCUC
rnacentral:lncRNA from 1 species